UACGUAGGGUGCGAGCGUUAAUCGGAAUUACUGGGCGUAAAGCGUGCGCAGGCGGUUUUGUAAGCCAGAUGUGAAAUCCCCCGGGCUUAACCUGGGAAUGGCAUUUGGGACUGCAAGGCUGGAGUACGGCAGAGGAGACUGGAAUUCCUGGUGUAGCAGUGAAAUGCGUAGAGAUCAGGAGGAAUAUCGAUGGCGAAGGCAGGUCUCUGGGCUGAUACUGACGCUCAUGGCACGAAAGCGUGGGGAGCAAACAGG
rnacentral:rRNA from 1 species